rnacentral:lncRNA from 1 species
GCUUGGUCUUCUCGCAAAACAAAAGGUUGUUUCUCCAAGCAGCUUAGUCUUUUCUUAAUUGAAGUACACAUUUCUACUUCUACACCAAAGUUAUAUACUGAGACGAUAUUGGUGUUGUUCUUCUCGUGAUCAAUCCAGUUAUGCACUUUGAACUUAAUCUUCAUUUUGUGCGUGAUUGUGUCACAAAAGCAUCUUCUUCUAAUUGCAGUUUCAAGUAGUUGAUUUACUAACCAAACUAAUUUAUGGUGCUGUCUUUCAUAAGUUCAAGUUCAAGAGUAAACUUUUGAUUGUUGAAAACUCUUCCAUAAGUUUAUCAUAUAGAUAAAGAGAGAGAAUAACACCAUUUAAGUAAGAUAAAUGUUGUGCAUGGAAAAAAAAAUUAACUAUGCGACAAAGGGAACCUCACUUUAUAGAAGAAUCCAAAAAGGUGAAAAAAAAGCAACACCAUUAUUGAAAUAAUUCAAUAAAAGAAAGAACAAGAGAAUUAGAUUCCAGCCAAAUUAAGUGUAAGAUUAACAUUUCCCUUCAUGUCAUGUCAGUGAGCAAAGAAUCUUUAGUUUGUGUAUUUAUACAAAUCCCUUACGAGCCCAAUAAUAAUGCAGUGGAGGAGGACCAUUUGAUUAUUAGUUCAGGUGAAGUGGUCAAACAGAGAUAUAAUAUAAUAUUUCGUCUUUAGGUUCAUCAGAUCCAAGUAAUAAUAAUCCAUUUACAUCAUAUGCAUGUCUCCAUCUAUUUCUUCAUAGAUUUUCAAUUUUCAUUCCAGUUCUGUUCAUCAUUAGCUAUUACAUUACAUUUUUUCUCAUGUUUAUGAUUUUAACUGAGUAUAAUGAACAGGAGUGGUGUGUAUGGUGGGAAGAUUCAAGUGGUUUCACUCUUUUUUCUUAUAUGUUUGAAUAUUAGCAAAAUGAGGGCAUGUUUGUUGGCUUCAACUGUGUUGGAUUAUGCUUGCAGACUGUCAUACAUGCAUCUAUACUGAUAAGAUGCAUAUAAGUUUAUAUAUAUAUAUAUGGCAUGAUAUGUGAUGCAUGCAUCUUAUAUAUAACCUUUUGGUUUGUUGGAGUAAACUUGUUGAUGUCUUUUAGAUUUUCUAAAAUAGCUCUUAAUCCUAUAUAUUUAUGCAGGUUCUUCACUUUUUCUCCUUUACCACUCUCCAAUAAUGGUGGAACCCAAAUGCAACGAAAGGUUAAGAAAUAAAGCAAAAGGUUAUAAGUUUCAAAAAGACAUAUACGAACCUGCCCAAAAUGGAGACAAAAUUAAAGGAGAAAAUGAAAACAAGAAAGGAAAGUGUUUUUCAUCUCUUUUUCCUUUUAAGUGUAUCAACUUUUAAUUGUAUUUUUUGCCUCAAAGUGAUGAAACUUCUAGUGUAUGAAACCAGAAAUAAAUAUGUAUUGUUUCAGGAAUAAAAGUAUUUUUAAAUUUUGUUUCAUUUCUGAUAUAAACAUGCACUAACUCGAAAUUCA